rfam:Alteromonadaceae bacterium Bs31 genome assembly, contig: K381DRAFT_scaffold00031.31
CAGUCGUGACUGCGUGCCUUUUGAAGAAUGAGCCUGCGAGUUAGCGGUGUGUAGCGAGGUUAACCCGUGUGGGGAAGCCGUAGCGAAAGCGAGUCCGAAUAGGGCGAUUGAGUUGCACGCUCUAGACCCGAAGCGGAGUGAUCUAGCCAUGGGCAGGUUGAAGCGGAGGUAAGACUUCGUGGAGGACCGAACCCACCAGGGUUGAAAACCUGGGGGAUGACCUGUGGUUAGGGGUGAAAGGCCAAUCAAACUCCGUGAUAGCUGGUUCUCCCCGAAAUGCAUUUAGGUGCAGCGUCGUGUGUUUCUUGCCGGAGGUAGAGCACUGGAUAGGCGAUGGGCCCUACCGGGUUACUGACCUUAGCCAAACUCCGAAUGCCGGUAAGUGAGAGCACGGCAGUGAGACUGUGGGGGAUAAGCUCCAUGGUCGAGAGGGAAACAGCCCAGAGCAUCGACUAAGGCCCCUAAGCGUACGCUAAGUGGGAAAGGAUGUGGAGUCGCAGAGACAACCAGGAGGUUGGCUUAGAAGCAGCCACCCUUGAAAGAGUGCGUAAUAGCUCACUGGUCAAGUGAUUCCGCGCCGACAAUGUAGCGGGGCUCAAGCGUACCGCCGAAGUCGUGUCAUUCAUACACAUAGGGCCAACGCCCGUAUGGAUGGGUAGGGGAGCGUCGUGUGCCGGGUGAAGCAGCCGCGGAAGCGAGUUGUGGACGGUUCACGAGUGAGAAUGCAGGCAUGAGUAGCGAUACACACGUGAGAAACGUGUGCGCCGAUUGACUAAGGGUUCCUGGGUCAAGCUGAUCUGCCCAGGGUAAGUCGGGACCUAAGGCGAGGCCGACAGGCGUAGUCGAUGGACAACCGGUUGAUAUUCCGGUACCCGCUUUGAAACGCCCAGUACUGAAUCAGGCGAUGCUAAGUCCGUGAAGCCGGCCCGAUCUCUUCGGAGUUGAGGGUAGUGGUGGAGCCGAUGAACCAGACUUGUAGUAGGUAAGCGAUGGGGUGACGCAGGAAGGUAGUCCAGCCCGGGCGGUGGUUGUCCCGGGGUAAGGGUGUAGCCCGUGUGGUAGGUAAAUCCGUCACACAUUAAGGGUGAGACCUGAUGCCGAGCCGAUUGUGGUGAAGUGGAUGAUCCUAUGCUGUCGAGAAAAGCCUCUAGCGAGUUUCAUGGCGGCCCGUACCCUAAACCGACUCAGGUGGUCAGGUAGAGAAUACCGAGGCGUUCGGGUGAACUAUGGUUAAGGAACUCGGCAAAAUGCCCCCGUAACUUCGGGAGAAGGGGGGCCAUCACUGGUGAUAGCACUUGCUGCUUGAGCUGGGGGUGGCCGCAGAGACCAGCGAGAAGCGACUGUUUACUAAAAACACAGGUCCGUGCGAAGCCGUAAGGCGAUGUAUACGGACUGACGCCUGCCCGGUGCUGGAACGUUAAGGGGACCGGUUAGCUGCCUUUCGGGGUGGCGAAGCUGAGAACUUAAGCGCCAGUAAACGGCGGUGGUAACUAUAACCAUCCUAAGGUAGCGAAAUUCCUUGUCGGGUAAGUUCCGACCUGCACGAAUGGCGUAACGACUUCUCGACUGUCUCAACCAUAGGCCCGGUGAAAUUGCACUACGAGUAAAGAUGCUCGUUUCGCGCAGCAGGACGGAAAGACCCCGGGACCUUUACUAUAGUUUGAUAUUGGUGUUCGGUUCGGCUUGUGUAGGAUAGGUGGGAGACUUUGAAGCGGCCACGCCAGUGGUUGUGGAGUCGUCGUUGAAAUACCACUCUGGUCGUGCUGGAUGUCUAACCUGGGUCCGUGAUCCGGAUCAGGGACAGUGUCUGAUGGGUAGUUUAACUGGGGCGGUUGCCUCCUAAAGAGUAACGGAGGCGCCCAAAGGUUCCCUCAGCCUGGUUGGCAAUCAGGUGUUGAGUGUAAGUGCACAAGGGAGCUUGACUGUGAGACCGACGGGUCGAGCAGGGACGAAAGUCGGGACUAGUGAUCCGGCAGUGGCUUGUGGAAGCGCUGUCGCUCAACGGAUAAAAGGUACCCCGGGGAUAACAGGCUGAUCUUCCCCAAGAGUCCAUAUCGACGGGAUGGUUUGGCACCUCGAUGUCGGCUCGUCGCAUCCUGGGGCUGGAGUCGGUCCCAAGGGUUGGGCUGUUCGCCCAUUAAAGCGGUACGCGAGCUGGGUUUAGAACGUCGUGAGACAGUUCGGUCCCUAUCCGCUGCGCGCGCAGGAAUAUUGAGAAGGGCUGUCCCUAGUACGAGAGGACCGGGACGGACGAACCUCUGGUGUGCCAGUUGUCCUGCCAAGGGCAUGGCUGGUUGGCUACGUUCGGAAAGGAUAACCGCUGAAAGCAUCUAAGCGGGAAGCCUGCUUCGAGAUGAGUAUUCCCACCCUCUUGAAGGGUUAAGGCUCCCAGUAGACGACUGGGUUGAUAGGCCAGAUGUGGAAGCCCGGUAACGGGUGGAGCUGACUGGUACUAAUAGGCCGAGGGCUUGUCCUC